CAAUCAACAAAGAGUAUAUGGUGGAGAUCUAGGGACCUAGAGCCGAUGAAGGGCGUGAUAACCGACGAUAUGCUCCGGGGAGCAGGACGUAUGCUUUGAUCCGGAGAUUCCCGAA
rnacentral:rRNA from 14 species